GCACCCACACGUGCGGAGAGAAGCCUACAGAUAAACGCGUGCAUAUCCUAGUAGAACCCCGAGUAGUGCGCCGAUCCACAGGCACAGCCGAACCAGAUCCCGCUGUCUACUUCCACCCUUUCCCCGUGCCACGAUGGAGGAGUCUGACCGCCUGAAGCAGGAAGGCAACGCGUACUUCCAGGAAAAGAAGUUUCAGCACGCGGUAGAGUCGUACUCGCAGGCCAUUGAGGCGCACAAGACGCCGACGGUGCUGUGCAACCGCGCCUUUGCCUACCUGAAGUUGGAGCUGCCCGGAGCGGCACUUGUAGACGCACAAGAGGCGAUCGAGAUCGACCCUGGCUUUGUGAAGGCGUACUACCGCAAGGCGUCUGCCCACCUGUUGCUUGGCAAGUUCAAGGAUGCGCAGAAGGAGUUCGCCGCCGUUCUUAAGCUUGUGCCCACCGAAAAGGAUGCCCGACAAAAGUAUGACCUGUGCGAAAAGGAGCUCAAGCGCAUUCGUUUCGAGAACGCCAUCAAGUCCAAGGACGGCGAGCCGGUAUCUACUACCAUCAAGCUCGGUGCCAUCGCUGCGUCGUACGAUGGGCCGCGCAUCGAGAAUGACACGAUUACGGUGCAGUUCGUGGAGGCGAUGCAGGAGCACUUCCGCGUUGAGAAAAAGAUAGAUCGCCGUGACGUCGUCUUUAUGCUGCUGGAGGUUUUAAAGCUGUUUAAGGCGUACCCCAAUUUCGUCACAGUCACAGUGCCAGACGGCGAGGACAUUACCGUUUGCGGUGACACGCAUGGCCAGUUCUACGACCUGCUCAACAUAUUCAAGCUGAAUGGCAAGCCGUCGCCGACAAACCGCUACCUCUUUAACGGCGACUUUGUCGAUCGUGGAUCCUACUCGGUGGAGAACGUGCUCACCUUGUUCGCGUACAAGCUGCUGUACCCAGAGCACGUCUUCCUCUCUCGCGGCAACCACGAGGGACUCUCGAUGAACCGCGUCUACGGUUUUGAGGGAGAGGUGCGGGCCAAGUACUCGGCCGAGGUGUUUGAUCUGUUCUCAGAGGUCUUCAACGCCCUCCCGACGGGGCACAUCAUCAACGAUGAGGUGUUCGUCGUCCACGGCGGUCUCUACUCGCGCGACGACGUCACCAUCGCCGACCUGCAGAAGCCGAAUCGGUUUCGAGACAUCCCCGAGAACGGUCUCAUUUGUGAGAGUCUUUGGGCGGACCCACAGCCGAUGCCGGGUCGCACACCGAGCAAGCGCGGCGUCGACUGCCCAUCUUUCGGCCCCGACGUCACGGAGAACUUCCUGAAGAAUAAUAAUUUGAAGCUCGUCGUGCGCUCACACGAGGUGAAAGAGGACGGCUACGAGGUGGACCACAACGGCAAGUGCAUCACCGUGUUCAGUGCCCCGAAUUACUGCGACCAGAUGGGCAACAAGGGCGCCUUCAUUCGCUUCACGGGAGGCACGAUGAAGCCCAAAUACACCACCUUUACGCACGUGGCCCACCCUGGCAAGCGGCCAAUGCAGUACGCCUGUGGAGCGGGUCUAUUUUAAUGACUGUAGCGGUAAGGGGAGCACGUGUGUGCUCCUCUCCCAGGCGGGCUGUGCCAUGUGUUGCCUAAUGCGGGAUGAUGGAACUGGCGGCUGCGGCGGUGGGGGUCUCGGCGGGCACUUCUCAUGCGACUAUUUAUCUUACCUUUCUUUGGCGUUCGUUCUGCCUCAGCGCGCGCCUGCCGCGGCGCUCAGAGUGUGCGUGUCGGCGCACACGCCUGUAGCUGUGUAUGUGCAUGAUGUGAGGGAGAGGGACUCAGCGCAUCUGCGCAGUGGGUACCUGCGGGCGUUGAUGAAGCGCCCAACUAGGGGAAGGACACAGACCUUUACCACAUCAGAGUGAUGCACAGAGGCGGGAUUGUGCUGGGCGCACAGUCGACGCGGGUGAGGUGGGGUGCUCGGGGAGGAGUCGGUUCCAACGAGGCACGAAGGCAGAUGUGUGCAUAGGGAAGACGGAGACUCCAUCGCGGUGACUGCUUUGGAUCGUAGAGCUGCCGCUCUCUCCGUUUCUCUUGCGCAACCGCUCUUCCUAAUCUGUUCCAGCGAUGCUCGAUGGGUUGCCAUGCGUACACUCGCUAUUCUCUAGGCGUGUGAGCGCACCGUGCACUCUACUCACCGAUCGGUGCCGCUUUCUCGUUCUUGAGCUCGUACCCUUCCUGGUUGCGUUCCGCGUGCUCUCCAGACAUAGCAUCUUUUAUCUUCCUAUUGUUUCUCUUGCUGGUGGUGUGUUGUGUCGUGUGGCCAUAGAUGAUCUGAUCGUCAUAACGGCGUGUGGAGGCGAGCUAUCAUUCCCUCGUCCCCGCUGUGCUUGCUUCCUUUUUCUCUCUCUCGUCUUUGCUAAUGUGUAAUGCGCGUCUUGUGCAACGUUCUCUCUUUUUGUUUUGUUGUUGUGCAAAUGCUAAAGGGCGAAGGACGAUCCGGGUCCUUCUCCGCACAACCAACACAGGCCAACAACGGUCAAAGUCCCCCCUCCCCACACACACCCACACAGACACAG
rnacentral:misc_RNA from 1 species